rnacentral:rRNA from 1 species
GACGAACGCUGGCGGCGUGCUUAACACAUGCAAGUCGAACGGAAAGGCCCUGCUUUUGUGGGGUGCUCGAGUGGCGAACGGGUGAGUAACACGUGAGUAACCUGCCCUUGACUUUGGGAUAACUUCAGGAAACUGGGGCUAAUACCGGAUAGGAGCUCCUGCUGCAUGGUGGGGGUUGGAAAGUUUCGGCGGUUGGGGAUGGACUCGCGGCUUAUCAGCUUGUUGGUGGGGUAGUGGCUUACCAAGGCUUUGACGGGUAGCCGGCCUGAGAGGGUGACCGGCACAAUUGGGAUGGGGAUACGGCCGAGACCCUUACGGGAGGAAGGAGUGGGGAAUAUUGCAAAAUGGGCGGAGGCCGGAUGCAGCAACGCCGCGUGCGGGAUGACGGCCUUCGGGUGGUAAACCGCUUUCGCCUGUGACGAGGCGUGAGGGACGGGAAUGGGUAAGAAGCACCGGCUAACUACGUG